rnacentral:rRNA from 1 species
ACUAGCAGUAAGAGUUUGAUCCUGGCUCAGGACGAACGCUGGCGGCAGGCUUAACACAUGCAAGUCGAACGCACUCUUCGGAGUGAGUGGCAGACGGGUGAGUAACGCGUGGGAACAUGCCCUUCGGUACGGAAUAGCUCAGGGAAACUUGGAUUAAUACCGUAUACGACCUCCGGGUGAAAGAUUUAUCGCCGAAGGAUUGGCCCGCGUUGGAUUAGCUAGUUGGUGGGGUAAAGGCCUACCAAGGCGACGAUCCAUAGCUGGUCUGAGAGGACGAUCAGCCACACUGGGACUGAGACACGGCCCAGACUCCUACGGGAGGCAGCAGUUAGGAAUAUUGGACAAUGGGCGCAAGCCUGAUCCAGCCAUGCCGCGUGAGUGAUGAAGGCCUUCGGGUUGUAAAGCUCUUUAGUCCACGAAUAUAAUGACUGUAGUGGAAGAAUAAGCCCCGGCUAACUUCGUGCCAGCCGCCGCGGUAAUUC